rnacentral:tRNA from 1 species
AUUAAUAUGGCAGAGUAGUGCAACGAAUUUAAGAUUCGAGUAAAAGAAGCUUUUCUUCUUUAUUAACA